UCUGGAGAUUAGAGGCCAUUGUAUCCCAUACUGGGAUAGGAUUUUCAUCUCUUAACAACAGAAGGGCAGCAGUUCAUGAGCCAGCAAGUUUCAAUGGCGGUACAAAGCGAGAGGACGAUCUGAAUGUCCGUCACUGUGCCAAACUGUCCGAGUGGCGUGGGGCAGCAGAGCAGAGAGUUUGGGAGGACAACAAGCCCCAAGGAGAGACCACUUGGAGCACCAGCUGGGUCUACCGGAAAGGAUGUGACAGCUGAAGUGGGCUGGUGUUGCCUGCGUGUUGAAAUGUUUUAUCCUCUUCAAACUCCUCCAACUGUGGAAGCUUCAGGGAUUCAUCUGACUGAGGCAAACACUCGGGAAAAACACGUUGAGUGUUGAGGAGAGUCACGGAUGAUUGACAACCACGGAGUGUAUUUACCACUCCAGGGACAACUUUGGAUGUGAUAUAUUACAUUUAAGUGUACAUUUGAGACACUACUGUCUGACCCCCCAGUAACAUCUAUUUUGUCUGGUAUUAUGCAGGGAGGACAUUGUAUAAAACUGAACAGGGUUUCCGUAAGGGCAUCUGGAAAAUGGCAGCAAACUAAAAUUUUAAUCUGCUUAUGUGCGUUGAUGGAAAUACAAGCCGACAGUAAAGGGUGUUGACGAUGUGAUUCUGCAACAUCUGCUUGGUGGUUCUUUCUGCAGAAAUUCCUCCAAUGUCAACCAAUGCCACUGUCUUUUAACUACAGAGCUGGUAGAAGUUCACUGUAAUGCUGAGAUAAUGGAUGAGAAACAUAACGUGUUUUAGCUACAACUCCGAAGCAGGACAAAUUUCACGUUUUUGAAUCUGACCCAGAUAACAGUAAUGCUGGGUAACUAGAGAAAAUAAUACAAAUGAAAACAGCAUCCUAGGACCACAGAUGCAACGGCCAGUAAAGUGAACACAACUCUGGAAGCAUUUUUUUAGUAGUGCCAAAUAUUUCCGCUAGCGAUAGCCAUAGCCUGGUCUUUUUCUUCCUUUUGUAUCAUCGGUUUUAUUCUUUUUGGGGAUUCAUUUUGAAAAGAAAUAGAAAAACACGUCUUCUAGCGUAUUUUUGAAAUUUUAUACACCUAUCGGGUCUCCAGUUUAGCCGCCUCUGUCACAUCCAAUGCCCUCUGUCCUGCCUUUGGAGCAAAUUCUCGUUAUCUCCCUCAGCUGUGUUCCUGAUCACUGUUCCUAUUUAAGUUCAUCCCUCCCACUUAUGGCUAUUUUUAUUGAUGUACUCUCAUCUUUACAAUUGUUUAAAGCCCACUAUUGCAUGUCUCAGCAACACAUUACAACAGUAAGCCCAUUAUGUUUAAUGACGUGAACUAGUUGUGUUUAGAGCCAUAAUUACAGUGUACAGUUUUUAAUUUACUAGUGGGGCUUCCUGCAUGCUCAAGGUGAUACUGAUUUGAAUAAACAAUGUUAAUUGAAGUAUUAUUAAUAUUCACCUAAUAACAGGAAAUCAUCCGAAUCAGUAAGACUCACUCUUCACAGUUGUCUUUCCAUCUACAAAUGAAGAAACUCUCAGGAAGUGACCUCAAUUAAUGGAUUAAUCUAUAAACGAACUGCUGGCAUUAUAGAGUCACUAUUGACCUGUGUGAGUUCAACACUUCAGCCACCUUGGCAUCAGCUAACAUGUAUACUUGGAGUUCUAACACCAGUCCUCAUCUCAGGGAGAAGUUGGUCAUCUGGAAGUUAAGCCAAAUAGGGCCUGUCGGUGUAUUGAAACUCUGUACUCCAGCCGUGAUAUGUUUAGUCUGUUUCCUGUAACCAAUUAUUGCAAGGCACAUUAUGACACAGAUACAAUCAGAUAUUAAUUAGGAAGUAAGCCUUUGAGAAAAUGACGGUCUGAACUAGAGAUUUCUCUGAGGCGCCUGUCCCAUCUGCUACAUCGUUGAUGGCUAUAGUGCUUCUCUGUAUUGAUUCUUUCCCCCUUCUCAACUCUUAAAAUGUAGAUUUAAAAAAAAAAAAAUUACUGUAGAUUCUACGCUGUUAUUUGAGGCUAGUGAAUAGAGAGCACUGCACUCAUGCAGUCAGUGAGAUCCCUACAAUUCUAAGGGCACGUUUCCUGAAAUCAGAUUUAGCCACGCCAAGGAUACAAAUUCUCACGGAGAUUUUUUAUUGAUAAUGAUCUUUAGUUCAGGACUAGACUUAAUCUGUGACAGAAAAAAUAUAAGUAAGGGUUUAACACAUCAAUCCAGGAGGGCAUGUAGAGCCUUUUUGAAAUGUUUGUAUUUCAAGCCUUUUUACUUUACCCAUAGAUGGUUAACCUGCCCUGAAGAAACAAACUGUCUUGA